GAUGAACGCUGGCGGCGUGCCUAAUACAUGCAAGUCGAGCGAACGGACGAGAAGCUUGCUUCUCUGAUGUUAGCGGCGGACGGGUGAGUAACACGUGGAUAACCUACCUAUAAGACUGGGAUAACUUCGGGAAACCGGAGCUAAUACCGGAUAAUAUUUUGAACCGCAUGGUUCAAAAGUGAAAGACGGUCUUGCUGUCACUUAUAGAUGGAUCCGCGCUGCAUUAGCUAGUUGGUAAGGUAACGGCUUACCAAGGCAACGAUGCAUAGCCGACCUGAGAGGGUGAUCGGCCACACUGGAACUGAGACACGGUCCAGACUCCUACGGGAGGCAGCAGUAGGGAAUCUUCCGCAAUGGGCGAAAGCCUGACAGAGCAACGCCGCGUGAGUGAUGAAGGUCUUCGGAUCGUAAAACUCUGUUAUUAGGGAAGAACAUAUGUGUAAGUAACUGUGCACAUCUUGACGAUACCUAAUCAGAAAGCCACGGCUAACUACGUG
rnacentral:rRNA from 1 species